CGGGGCGGCUCCGGGAGCUCCUCGGGCACCGGGCCGGGGCUCUGCCCCUGCGGCUCCCCUCGGGCACCGCCGUGGGGAGGGGGCGGAGAGACCGCGGUGCCCGCCCGAGCUCGGGGUGUGCGCUCUGCGGCUUUGCGCUUUGUUAAAAAGCCCUUCUCCUAAAGCUGCCGCCACCUGGACGCGUAAUUGGGAGUGAAAACAUUUACCCGCCGGCUGCUUUCAUCGGGAGGGAAUCGAGCAUUGGUUCUCGCUCGGAAACACUCGGUGUGAGGCAUUUUGGAGUAUUUGGCAUGUGAAUGAACACCUCUGACCUCUGUUCUGUCUGAGCCAACAAGCUGCCUUCUCAGCUGUGGCCUCAGACACAUGAACGCCUCCCACCAGGAUUAAACACUCACCUUUUGGGGGAAAACAUGCCAAGUUAUGCCAUCACCACCUCUGACUGCCAUCCUACUAACUUGUCUGAUCUCCUCCAUUCCUGUUUUCAGAGUCUGAAACAAGGGGAGAGGAGAUUCCCGCUCCAUUCAUAAUCACAGUAGUAAGCACACCUGUAGUACUUGCCUUUUGAACGUAUUUUCUGCAUGUUGAUUCAUUUACUAAUUAAAUUUAGUAAUUUUUAAAAAACCCUAAUCCUUUCCCCUCCCUGCUAUGCCACCGUUCUGCUCUUUAAAAAGAGGAAAGAAAAAAGCUACACUUUGCCAAGUGAGUCAAAAAUAAAUGUGUUGUUCAAGUUUGCAAUAUGUUUUGGCUGCAGCAGUGUGUGAGAGCACAUUUGGUUCCCGAGUCAGAUGAUGAAGGACGAGGCUUUCAUAACACAGGACCCGUCUGUGCCACUUCACAUCAACAGCUUCUUCCUCUCUUAUUAAGUAGGAGGAAUACGAAUUGCCAGCAGCCCAAAUAUGGCAGCCACCUGUGGAUUUUGGCAUUGCCUCCUGAGAACUGAUGAAGCCGAGUGCUGUAGCUGUGAGAAAAACACAAUCUUCCCAUUCAUGAGAAACUUUGAGUGCUGACAGUGGCAUGGGUCAGGCUGGGGGUUGUUGGCGUGUUCCCUCAUGGGGCGAUGCCUGAGGGCAGCCAGCACCAGCACUGGCACAGGGAUUUGGGAAUCUUGAGUUGUCACUGAACCUCUCUUCCUGCUGCCUCAGCUCUCCAGUGACUACUUAGACAGAUGUUUUCCUUAGUGACCCAUCUGUCCUUUUCCACCCAAGUUAAAAGCUGGAUAAUUUCUGAGUGACAGAUUUCUAUUUUCGAGGACUUGAGGCCCUUCCAGUACUUGAAGGGAGCCUACAAGAAAAAUGGAGAGGGACAUUUCACAAGGACCUGGAGUGACAGGACAAAGGGGAUGGUUUCAAACUGAAAGAGAUUUAGAUUAGAUAUACACAAGAAAUUCUCUGUGAGGACGGGGAGGCCCUGGCAUAGGGAAGCUGUGGCUGCUCCAUCCCUGGAAGUGUCCAAGGCCAGGCUGGACAGGGCUUGGAGCAGCCUGGGAUGCUGGAAGAUGUCUCUACCCAUGGCAGGGAACUGGAUGAGCUUUAAGCUCCUUUCCAACCUAAACCAUUCUAUGAUUUUACAGUUUGGAAAAGACUAGCCAAUCCAACAGGAGCUUCACAUUACCUGUACCUGUCCUAGUCUGUGACCCCCAUAUCUCACAAAGCCCCACUCCUGGAAUAAAGAGGAGUAGGUGCUUUUUGAUGAGGAUCCUCAGACUCUCCCUCAGCCCCAUGUUUCUAAACUGGCCAGUCAUCCAAAUCAGGCACUGAAAGGUGACAGAGAGGCAACUCAGAAACAUCCCUGUCACAUAAACUUCUGUUUUACAGAGAAUUUGUCUAUUUGGGGGAUGAGGGCAAGAGUAAUUACAGCAUCUGAAUGAGGAACUUCAAGUUUCCUGUGUAGUAUGGGACAAAAAUAGGUUCUUCUAAAGUGUGAUUCAGAGGAACUAAUUUUAGGUCCCUAAAAUAAGGCUGUCUAAAUACUCCAUGACAUGUUUCAAGUUGGAUGGGGAGGCGGGUUCAGUGUCACCUACAGCACAUACGCUGAAUAUUGUUCUUUUUCUGCAAUGCCUGUUUGGAUCUGCGUGUUCUAAUGCAAGUGGAACACUUCUGUUCAGCAGAAAUAAGAGGCCCUUGUGAAGAGGUUCAGGUGUUGUUAUGGGCACCGGUAUGAUCUUUGAAAUUGUAUUACAUAGACAAUGCUGACCAAAUAGGUGCAGCAUUGUUAUCCUUCACUUUGCAUUCCCAGUGGUUCUGUUUAUGAAAGUUAAAUCCAUCCUCAAUUACAGCCAUUCACAAGAUAUUGUGUGGCCUCUGCUCUUUUUCAGCUGAACUUGGUGGGUUACUGUGCUUACAAUGGACAGUCUUUUGUUUGUACAAGAGCAGGACCUCAAUUCUCCCUGGUGAAAUAAAUUAAUUUAUAGCAAAA